GAUGAACGCUGGCGGCGUGCCUAAUACAUGCAAGUCGAGCGAACAGACGAGGAGCUUGCUCCUCUGACGUUAGCGGCGGACGGGUGAGUAACACGUGGAUAACCUACCUAUAAGACUGGGAUAACUUCGGGAAACCGGAGCUAAUACCGGAUAAUAUAUUGAACCGCAUGGUUCAAUAGUGAAAGACGGUUUUGCUGUCACUUAUAGAUGGAUCCGCGCCGCAUUAGCUAGUUGGUAAGGUAACGGCUUACCAAGGCAACGAUGCGUAGCCGACCUGAGAGGGUGAUCGGCCACACUGGAACUGAGAAACGGUCCAGACUCCUACGGGAGGCAGCAGUAGGGAAUCUUCCGCAAUGGGCGAAAGCCUGACGGAGCAACGCCGCGUGAGUGAUGAAGGUCUUCGGAUCGUAAAACUCUGUUAUUAGGGAAGAACAAAUGUGUAAGUAACUAUGCACGUCUUGACGGUACCGAAGCAGAAAGCCACGGCUAACUACGU
rnacentral:rRNA from 1 species